AUUGAACGCUGGCGGCAGGCCUAACACAUGCAAGUCGAGCGAGCGGCGGACGGGUGAGUAAUGUCUGGGAAACUGCCUGAUGGAGGGGGAUAACUACUGGAAACGGUAGCUAAUACCGCAUACCAUCAGAUGUGCCCAGAUGGGAUUAGCUAGUAGGUGGGGUAACGGCUCACCUAGGCGACGAUCCCUAGCUGGUCUGACAGGAUGACCAGCCACCUUGGAACGGGGACACGCUCCAGACUCCUACGGGAGGCAGCAGUGGGGAAUAUUGCACAAGGGGGGAAAGCCUGAUGCACCCAUGCCGCGUGUGUGAAGAAGGCCUUCGGGUUGUAAAGCACUUUCAGCGGGGAGUCGUUACCCGCAGAAGAAGCACCGGCUAACUCCGUGCCAGCAGCCGCGGUAAUAC
rnacentral:rRNA from 1 species